GGCUUCCUGGCGCAAUGGUUAGCGUGUUUGGCUUCGAACCAAGAGGUUGUCGGUUCAAGUCCGGCGGAAGUCU
rnacentral:tRNA from 1 species